ACCUGGGUGGCUCAGUGGUUGAGCAUCUGCCUUUGGCUCAGAAUAUGAUCCCAGGUU
rnacentral:tRNA from 1 species